AAGUGAAAUGAUGGCAAAUCAUCUUUCGGGACUGACCUGAAAUGAAGAGAAUACUCUCUGCUGAUCACUU